rnacentral:tRNA from 1 species
GGCUGGGUAGCUCAGUGGAUUGAGAGCCAACGCUCUAGAGGUGGGAGGUCCUAGGUUCGAAUCCAGCCUCAGCCA